rnacentral:rRNA from 1 species
UACGUAGGGGGCAAGCGUUGUCCGGAAUUAUUGGGCGUAAAGAGCUCGUAGGCGGCUUAGUAAGUCGGCUGUGAAAUACCGGGGCUCAACCCCGGAACUGCAGUCGAUACUGCUGUGGCUAGAGUCUGGUAGAGGAGAAUGGAAUUCCCGGUGUAGCGGUGGAAUGCGCAGAUAUCGGGAGGAACACCAGUAGCGAAGGCGGUUCUCUGGGCCAGUACUGACGCUGAGGAGCGAAAGCGUGGGUAGCAAACAGG